GGGAGCACAGAACUUAGACAGAUGAUG
rnacentral:piRNA from 1 species